rnacentral:rRNA from 1 species
GACGAACGCUGGCGGCGUGCUUAACACAUGCAAGUCGAACGGUAAGGCCCUUCGGGGUACACGAGUGGCGAACGGGUGAGUAACACGUGGGUGAUCUGCCCUGCACUUCGGGAUAAGCCUGGGAAACUGGGUCUAAUACCGGAUAGGACCACUGCCUGCAUGGGUGGUGGUGGAAAGCUUUUGCGGUGUGGGAUGGGCCCGCGGUCUAUCAGCUUGUUGGUGGGGUGAUGGCCUACCAAGGGGACGACGGGUAGCCGGCCGGAGAGGGUGACCGGCCAAACUGGGACGGGGAUACGGCCCAGACUCCUACGGGAGGCAGCAGUGGGGAAUAUUGCACAAUGGGCGCAAGCCUGAUGCAGCGACGCCGCGUGAGGGAUGAAGGCCUUCGGGUUGUAAACCUCUUUCAGCACCGACGAAGCGCAAGUGACGGUAGGUGCAGAAGAAGGACCGGCCAACUACGUGCCAGCCGCCGCCGUAA